UACGUAGGGUGCAAGCGUUAAUCGGAAUUACUGGGCGUAAAGCGUGCGCAGGCGGUUAUAUAAGACAGUUGUGAAAUCCCCGGGCUCAACCUGGGAACUGCAUCUGUGACUGUAUAGCUAGAGUACGGUAGAGGGGGAUGGAAUUCCGCGUGUAGCAGUGAAAUGCGUAGAUAUGCGGAGGAGCACCGAUGGCGAAGGCAAUCCCCUGGACCUGUACUGACGCUCAUGCACGAAAGCGUGGGGAGCAAACAGG
rnacentral:rRNA from 1 species